GGAUAUGGGGGAGAAGGGAGGGAAAUGGAGAGGAAAAGGCUGGAGAUGAGAACAAGAAGAUGGAAUGGUCUAUUUGCAGUCAUCUUGAAUGUUAAAUUGCACAGCAAGCGAUCUGCAUUUAUUCUUGCCUGAAUGGAAGGGGAAGAAGUAGGACAAUCUCAGGACUGGUGAAAUCCCUAUUCUGAGUCUGUGAAGGGAAGGAGGAAGAACACCUAUGAGGAGAGCAGGAGGUCACACAACGCAGCAGAUUUGUCUCAAUAUUAACGGAGAGUAAGAGGUACUAUCUCAAUCUUUGAUUGAUAUGAAGCCAAUCUGUGUCCCAAAGUUAGUGCCAUCACGGAAGUGAGAGUAAAAUUUAUCAGGGUGGCAUGCAGUACAGAAAGUGAUAUUCUCAUUGUGGUCUGAGACAGAAUCAUCUUGGAUGUUCUCAGGAAGAAUUCCACCUCUCUCAAGAAGAAUCCUUAAAGAAAGAAAAAAACCCCAUAAAAUAGUUGUUGUAAUUCCUCAUAUUCAUUAAGACACUGUCAUUCAAACAACACAUCAAGUACCAGCUGAACAAACUUUGUGAUUGAGACUUUCACUUGAUAUUUUUUACUUCCAGUAUCAGACUAAAAUAAUGGCUUUUCUGCAGCCAGUAAAAUCACAUUUAACUUGAA